rnacentral:rRNA from 1 species
UACAGAGGUCUCAAGCGUUGUUCGGAUUCAUUGGGCGUAAAGGGUGCGUAGGUGGCGGGGUAAGUCAGGUGUGAAAUCUCGAGGCUCAACCUCGAAGCUGCACUUGAUACUGCCUUGCUAGAGUACUGGAGAGGAGAUUGGAAUUUACGGUGUAGCAGUGAAAUGCGUAGAUAUCGUAAGGAAGACCAGUGGCGAAGGCGAAUCUCUGGACAGUUACUGACACUGAGGCACGAAGGCCAGGGGAGCAAACGGG